AAACUAUUUAUACUUUGUUUUGAAAACAAAGUUUAAGAAUUUUAUUCUUGUAGUUUU
rnacentral:tRNA from 1 species